GAUGAACGCUGGCGGCGUGCCUAAUACAUGCAAGUCGAGCGAAUGGAUUAAGAGCUUGCUCUUAUGAAGUUAGCGGCGGACGGGUGAGUAACACGUGGGUAACCUGCCCAUAAGACUGGGAUAACUCCGGGCAACCGGGGCUAAUACCGGAUAACAUUUUGAACCGCAUGGUUCGAAAUUGAAAGGCGGCUUCGGCUGUCACUUAUGGAUGGACCCGCGUCGCAUUAGCUAGUUGGUGAGGUAACGGCUCACCAAGGCAACGAUGCGUAGCCGUACUGAGAGGGUGAGCAGCCAAACUGGGACUGAGACACGGGCCAGACUCCUACGGGAGGCAGCAGUAGGGAAUCUGCCGCAAUGGAGGAAAGUCUAACGGAGCAACGCCGCGUGAGUGAUGAAGGCUUUCGGGUCGUAAAACUCUGUUGUUAGGGAAGAACAAGUGCUAGUUGAAUAAGCUGGCACCUUGACGGUACCUAACCAGAAAGCCACGGCUAACUACGUGCCAGCAGCCGCCGUAA
rnacentral:rRNA from 1 species